rnacentral:rRNA from 1 species
AUGACGUUGGUAUGCACGGCAAAGCCGCCACUGUCUAACAUGGUCUCAGCAACUGGCGAUAACAACCGGACGGAGGAUGGGAUGGUCACAAUCCGCCCGUUCCCGUGCAAGUGGGUGAUACAGACGAUCAAGCAGGUUCAGGAGGUGACCAUCCGCUCGAGCGCCCCGGGUGCCAUGAAACAUGGUCCUGCCAAGAUGCACAAUCACCCACAAUGUCUCCGCAGUGGUCUUUUCCACCCGGACUACAGCAACAACUUCUACCACGACAUGGCCGACAUUGUCGUCCCUCUUUACAACAUGGCACGGGUGUACAACAGUCACGUCCAUUUCUUGGCCACCGACUACAACCACAAAUGGAUCGUCAAGUAUCGACACAUCCUCGCAACACUCUCCAUCUACCUCGAUUUUGACACCGACGAUGCUGUGGACUGCUUCCCAUCAAUGCAAGUAGGCAUCGAAAGCCAUAAGGACUUGGGGAUCAUUCCCGCUCUUUCCAAGAAGGGAUACACGAUGAUGGACUUUCGGGACUUCCUCCGAUCAGCCUACUCGCUGAAACGUGUGUGGGCAACCCCUACAAGUCGUACCUUCAGUGAUAGGCCUCGUCUUGUCAUGCUAUUGCAGCGCCACUCGAGGGUGCUCACAAAUAAGGCAGAGGUCAUUGUGACUGCCAAUGAGGUCGGAUUUGAGGUCGUGGUUGUAGGGCCGAAGGCCGUGCGUGACAUGGCCCAGUUUGUGGAGAUGGUGAACUCAUGUGAUGUAAUGGUGGGCAUGCACGGCGUCGGGCUCACCAAUAUGGUGUUCCUCCUUCACAACGGAAUGUUGAUGCAGAUAGUCCCAUGGGGCGAGAUAAAGUGGCCGUGUUGGAUUGCCUUGUCCAGCCCACACCUGACAUGGGGCUUCGGUACGUCGAGUACAAGGCAAAAGUCGAGAAUAUGCAUACGCUUUCACGCCUCUAAUUCUUACAUGGUAUCAGAUCCAUCCUCGAGCUCAUCCAUGGCAACAUCUUCAAGUUCCUUCCCAUCCUCGCCAUUCGCUCACACAGCCAUCGAGAAGCUCACGAAGGGCAAUCAGGCGGUAUGGCGGGCAACCGUGCUCUCUGCGAUCCGGGGCGCGCAGAUGGCAAAGUACCUCGACGUCGAGCAACCACCACCACCUAUGCAGAUCGACAUAGCUUCAUCUGAUGGCAAGGCCACAACGAAGGCGCCGAACCCUGAUUUCCAAACCUGGUAUGCACAAGAUCAACAAGUCUUCUCCUAUCCCCCGAUGACUCUUCCCCGUGAGAUCGUCAUCCAGAUUGCGUCGUGUCACACUUCAGCAGAGCUCUGGAACACGGUUGAAGGUAUGCUUGUAUCCCGCACCCGUUCCCAGACCACCAAUGUUCGGAUCGCCCUCGCAAAUCUGCAGAAGGGGAACUCCUCCAUCACUGACUACGUCGGAAAGGUCAAGUCUCUUUGCGACGAGCUGAUAGCGGCAGGGAAGAGGAAAUACUCGGUACAUGUCGUCGCGCUUUCAGACAACCAAGGUUUGAACAAAAUCUCAAUGGAUUCCGGUACCAUGCUUCCCGACUGA